rnacentral:rRNA from 1 species
UACGCAGAUUCGUCGAUACAGAGUUUGAUCCUGGCUCAAGCCAAUUCCUCAACUUGGAGCUGGGGGGGGCGGGACCCAAAAAACAACUAGGAUUUGGAUCCCGGGCAAAGGGAAAAAUAAAUAAAGUGUUCGAUAUUGAAUUCUAUCUUUUGGUGUAUGUCUUGUUGUUGGUAUGUUUUUGUGUUUUUGUAUGUAUUCAUGUCUUUUUAUCUUGUUGGUGGUAUAUUGGUCUAUCUAUGUAACUACGUGUAUCCGGCCUGAUAGGGUGACCGGUCUCUCUGUAUCUGAAACUCUGUCCAUACUCCUAUGGGUGGCUGUAGUGGUAAAUAUUGCACUGUGGGCGCAUGCCUGAUGCUGCGUCGCCGCGUGAGGGAAGAAGGCCUUCGGGUUGUAAACCCCUUUCAUAUUUUUAGAAGCCCAUCCUUUUGGGGUGGGUGACGGUACCUGCAGAAGAAGCGCCGGCUAACUACGUGCCAGCAGCCGCGGUAAUACGUAGGGCGCAAGCGUUAUCCGGAAUUAUUGGGCGUAAAGAGCUCGUAGGCGGUUUGUCGCGUCUGCCGUGAAAAUCCGGGGCUUAACUCCGGAUCUGCGGUGGGUACGGGCAGACUAGAGUGCAGUAGGGGAGACUGGAAUUCCUGGUGUAGCGGUGAAAUGCGCAGAUAUCAGGAGGAACACCGAUGGCGAAGGCAGGUCUCUGGGCUGUAACUGACGCUGAGGAGCGAAAGCAUGGGGAGCGAACAGGAUUAGAUACCCUGGUAGUCCAUGCCGUAAACGUUGGGCACUAGGUGUGGGGGACAUUCCACGUUUUCCGCGCCGUAGCUAACGCAUUAAGUGCCCCGCCUGGGGAGUACGGCCGCAAGGCUAAAACUCAAAGGAAUUGACGGGGGCCCGCACAAGCGGCGGAGCAUGCGGAUUAAUUCGAUGCAACGCGAAGAACCUUACCAAGGCUUGACAUGAACCGGAAUGAUGCAGAGAUGUGUCAGCCACUUGUGGCCGGUUUACAGGUGGUGCAUGGUUGUCGUCAGCUCGUGUCGUGAGAUGUUGGGUUAAGUCCCGCAACGAGCGCAACCCUCGUUCCAUGUUGCCAGCGGGUUAUGCCGGGGACUCAUGGGAGACUGCCGGGGUCAACUCGGAGGAAGGUGGGGACGACGUCAAAUCAUCAUGCCCCUUAUGUCUUGGGCUUCACGCAUGCUACAAUGGCCGGUACAAAGGGUUGCGAUACUGUGAGGUGGAGCUAAUCCCAAAAAGCCGGUCUCAGUUCGGAUUGAGGUCUGCAACUCGACCUCAUGAAGUUGGAGUCGCUAGUAAUCGCAGAUCAGCAACGCUGCGGUGAAUACGUUCCCGGGCGUUGUACACACCGCCCGACCAGUCCCGAACCAAAGUCGAACUCGUUGGUAACAGACUUUGAUCCGCCGAAUCCGAAUUCGUCGACAACAGAGUUUGAUCCGCUCACCGAAUCAUCACAACCUGUGUCCGACUAACAGGAA